rnacentral:rRNA from 1 species
UACGGAGGGGGCUAGCGUUGUUCGGAAUUACUGGGCGUAAAGCGCGCGUAGGCGGCUUUGUAAGUUAGAGGUGAAAGCCCGGGAGCUCAACUCCGGAACUGCCUUUAAGACUGCAUCGCUUAGAACGUCGGAGAGGUAAGUGGAAUUCCGGAGUGUAGAGGUGAAAUUCGUAGAUAUUCGGAAGAACACCAGUGGCGAAGGCGACUUACUGGACGACUGUUGACGCUGAGGUGCGAAAGCGUGGGGAGCAAACAGG